GAUCCUGGCUCAGGAUGAACGCUGGCGGCGUGCUUAACACAUGCAAGUCGAACGAAGCACUUUAUUUGAUUUCUUCGGAAUGAAGAUUUUGUGACUGAGUGGCGGACGGGUGAGUAACGCGUGGGUAACCUGCCUCAUACAGGGGGAUAACAGUUGGAAACGACUGCUAAUACCGCAUAAGCGCACAGGGUCGCAUGACCUGGUGUGAAAAACUCCGGUGGUAUGAGAUGGACCCGCGU
rnacentral:rRNA from 1 species